GGUCGACGGUAUCGAUAAGCUUGCUAUGGGUACGGGGAGCAGCAGGCGCGAAACCUUUACACUGCACGUCAGUCGGAUAAGGGGAUUCCGAGUGCGAGGGCAUACAGUCCUCGCUUUUGUACACCGUAAGGNGGUGUACGAAUAAGAGCUGGGCAAGACCGGUGCCAGCUGCCGCGGUAACACCGGCAGCUCGAGUGAUGGCCGAUAUUAUUGGGCCUAAAGCGUCCGUAGCUGGCCGGACAGGCCCGUUGGGAAAUCCACUCGCUCAACGAGUGGGCGUCCAGCGGAAACCGUCUGGCUUGGGACCGGAAGACCAGAGGGGUACGUCUGGGGUAGGAGUGAAAUCCCGUAAUCCUGGACGGACCACCGGUGGCGAAAGCGCCUCUGGAAGACGGAUCCGACGGUGAGGGACGAAAGCUCGGGUCACGAACCGGAUUAGAUACCCGGGUAGUCCGAGCUGUAAACGAUGUCUGCUAGGUGUKACACAGGCUACGAGCUUGUGUUGUGCCGUAGGAAGCCGUGAAGCAGACCGCCUGGGAAGUA
rnacentral:rRNA from 2 species